AUGCCCUGCAGCGGACGUCACAGGGGCAUUUGUUUUACUAGUGUCUCCUCUAGCAGAUGUCACAGGGGCAGUCAGUUUACUAGUGUGCCCUGCAGUGGAAGUCACAGGGACAUUUGUUUUACUAGUGUGCCCUGCAGUAGUAGUCACAGAGGCAGUCGCCUUAAUAGUGUGCCCCCCAGCGGACGUCACAGGGGCAUUUGUUUUACCAGUGUCUCCUCCAGCAGAUGUCACAGGGGCAGUCAAUUUGCUAGUGUCCCCUUUAGUGGACGUCACAGGAGCAGUGAAUUUACUAGUAUGCCCUCCAGCGGAUGUAACAGGGGCAUUUGUUUUACUAGUGUCUCCUCCAGCAGAUGUCACAGGGGCAGUCAAUGUGCUAGUGUGCCCUGCAGUGGAAGUCAGGGGGACAGGUGUUUUACUAGUGUGCCCUCCAGUGGUAGUCACAGUGGUAGUGGUGUUACUAUUGGGACCUUCAGUAGAAGUCACAGGGUCAAACAUUAUCCUAAUGAGCCCUGCAGUGGACGUCAAAGGGCCAUUUGUUUUACUAGUGUGCCCUGCAGUGGAAGUCACAGGGGCAGUUGUAUUACUAGUGUGCCCUCUAGCAGAUGUCACAGGGGCAGUGACUUUAUUAGUGUGCCCUCCAGUGGACGUCACUGGGGCAGUCAAUUUACUAAUGUGCCCUGCAGUGGGAGUCAUAGGGGCAGUUGUGUACCUGGUGGGACUUUCAGUGGAAGUCACAAGAGAGGUUGUUUUACUAGUGUGCCCUGCAGUGGUAGUCACAGAGGCAGUCACCUUAAUAGUAUGCCCCGCAGAGGACAUCACAGUGGCAUUUGUUUUACCAGUAUCUCCUCCAGCAGAUGUCACAGGGGCAGUCAAUUUGCUAGUGUGCCCUGUAGUGGAAGUCAGAGGGGCAGUCAAUUUAUUAGUGUGCCCUCCAGUGGAUGUCACAGGGGCAUUUGUUUUACUAGUAUCCCCUCCAGCAGAUGUCACAGGAGCAGUGAAUUUACUAGUAUGCCCUCCAGCGGACGUCACAGGGGCAGGUGUUUUACUAGUGUGCCCUCCAGUGGUAGUCACAGUGGUAGUGGUGUUACUAUUGGGACCUUCAGUAGAAGUCACAGGGGCAAACAUUAUCCUAAUGAGCCCUCCAGUGGACGUCAAAGGGCCAUUUGUUUUACUAGUGUGCCCUGCAGUGGAAGUUACAGGGGCAGUUCGUUUACUAGUGUGCCCUGCAGUGGAAGUCACAGGGGCAGUUCUGUUACUAGUGUGCCCUGCAGUGGAAAUCACAGGGGCAGUUGUGUUACUAGUGUGCCCUCUAGCAGAUGUCACAGGGGCAGUGACUUUAUUAGUGUGCCCUCCAGUGGACGUCACUGGGGCAGUCAAUUUACUAAUGUGCCCUGCAGUGGGAGUCAUAGGGGCAGUUGUGUACCUGGUGGGACUUUCAGUGGAAGUCACAAGAGAGGUUGUUUUACUAGUGUGCCCUGCAGUGGUAGUCACAGAGGCAGUCAUCUUAAUAGUGUGCCCCCCAGCGGACGUCACAGUGGCAUUUGUUUUACCAGUGUCUCCUCCAGCAGAUGUCACAGGGGCAGUCAAUUUGCUAGUGUGCCCUGUAGUGGAAGUCAGAGGGGCAGUCAAUUUAUUAGUGUGCCCUCCAGUGGAUGUCACAGGGGCAUUUGUUUUACUAGUAUCCCCUCCAGCAGAUGUCACAGGAGCAGUGAAUUUACUAGUAUGCCCUCCAGCGGACGUCACAGGGGCAUUUGUUUUACUAGUAUCCCCUCCAGCAGAUGUCACAGGGGCAGUCAAUUUGCUAGUGUGCCCUGCAGUGGAAGUCAAGGGGGCAGUUGUGUUCCUGGUGGGACUUUCGGUGGAAGUUACAAGGGAGGUUGUUUUACUAGUGUGCCCUGCAGUGGUAGUCACAGAUGCAGUCAUCUUAAUAGUGUGCCCCCCAGCGGACGUCACAGUGGCAUUUGUUUUACCAGUGUCUCCUCCAGCAGAUGUCACAAGGGCAGUCAAUUUGCUAGUGUGCCCUGUAGUGGAAGUCAGAGGGGCAGUCAAUUUACUAGUAUACCCUCCAGCGGACGUCACAGGGGCAUUUGUUUUACUAGUAUCUCCUCCAGCAGAUGUCACAGAAGCAGUGAAUUUACUAGUAUGCCCUCCAGCGGACGUCACAGGGGCAUUUGUUUUACUAGUAUCCCCUCCAGUAGAUGUCACAGGGGCAGUCAAUUUGCUAGUGUGCCCUGCAGUGGAAGUCAAGGGGGCAGUUGUGUUCCUGGUGG
ensembl:lncRNA